rnacentral:rRNA from 1 species
AAAUAGGUGGAGUCGAAAGGCUUCAUUUGCUCAGAGAGGGGUUAAUGUCCUAUCAGCUAGUUGGUAGGGUAAUGGCCUACCAAGGCAAAGACGGGUAGCCGGCCUGAGAGGGUGGUCGGCCACACUGGGACUGAGACACUGCCCAGACUCCUACGGGAGGCUGCAGUCGAGAAUCUUUCGCAAUGCCCGAAAGGGUGACGAAGCGACGCCGCGUGCGGGAAGAAGGCCUUCGGGUUGUAAACCGCUGUCGGGAGUUAAGAAAUGUAAGGAUGUUAAUAGCAUCUUUGCUUGACUAAGGCUCCGGAGGAAGCCACGGCUAACUCUGUGCCAGCAGCCGCGGUAAUACAGAGGCGGCAAGCGUUGUUCGGAAUUAUUGGGCGUAAAGAGCACGUAGGCGGCUAUUUAAGUCGGUUGUGAAAGCCUUCCGCUCAACGGGAGAACAGCAUCCGAUACUGCAUGGCUUGAGUGCGGGAGGGGAGAGUGGAACUUCUGGUGGAGCGGUGAAAUGCGUAGAUAUCAGAAGGAACGCCGGCGGCGAAAGCGGCUCUCUGGCCCAUAACUGACGCUGAGUGUGCGAAAGCUAGGGGAGCAAACGGGAUUAGAUACCCCGGUAGUCCUAGCCGUAAACGAUGGGCACUAAGUAGAGGGGUUUUGAUUAUCUCUCUGCCGGAGCUAACGCAUUAAGUGCCCCGCCUGGGGAGUACGGCCGCAAGGCUAAAACUCAAAAGAAUUGACGGGGGCUCGCACAAGCGGUGGAGCAUGUGGCUUAAUUCGAUCAACGCGAAGAACCUUACCGGGGUUUGACAUGGUAGAAGUAGAAGCCUGAAAGGGCAACGAACGGUAUCCAGUCCGUAGCUAUCACAGGUGUUGCAUGGCUGUCGUCAGCUCGUGUCGUGAGACGUUGGGUUAAGUCCCCUAACGAGCGAAACCCUUGUCUUUAGUUGCCAACAGGUAAUGCUGGGAACUCUAAAGAGACUGCCGUCGUCAAGACGGAGGAAGGUGGGGAUGACGUCAAGUCAUCAUGGCCCUAAUAUCCCGGGCUGCACACGUGCUACAAUGGUCGGUACAAAGGGAUGCUAAGUCGUAAGGCGGAGCGAAACCCAGAGAGCCGAUCCCAGUUCAGAUUGGAGGCUGAAACCCGCCUCCAUGAAGUAGGAAUCGCUAGUAAUCGCGGAUCAGCUACGCCGCGGUGAAUAUGUUCCCGAGCCUUGUACACACCGCCCGUCAAGCCACCCAAGCAAGAUGCACCCAAAAUCACCGACCUAACCCGUAAGGGAUGGAAGUGCUUAAGGUGUGUUUUGCGAGGAGGACUAAGUCGGAACAAGGUA